CGAAACAUGAAUAAGGAGAGAUGGAGGAAAAGUGAGGAGGAAGAUGAAGGAGAAGACACGUGAAGGGAAGAAGAAGUGAGGAGGAGAGAUAGAGAGAGAUAAAAGAGGAAAACUUUAACAGAAAUACAAAAGGGAGUAGAUGAACACGUAGGAGGGUAAAAGUGCACAGAAUCGUACUAAUAUCCCAUAAAUCAACACAAUAAAGCAUCAAAUUUCACGCGCCGCGCCGCACAACACACUCACCCAGGCGAAGAACCUCUGCCAAAAUGCCCCGCGUCGGAAGUGAGACUCGCCGCGCCGCCGCCACGCCUCCCAAAUCCCCAGAUGCACCUGUCAGUCGACCAUUUGCUCUUCUCACGUGUGUCAGCCGUGACGUCACUACAGGAGGGAGUGACAGGGUUGGGGAGUAGUAGGUGGAGAAGCUGGGAGAAGGUGUGGCGGUGUUUUGUGCUGUUUUCGCCAGGAAUUAUCAGCCUGCGCCCCGCCCCAUCAAAGCGGGCGGGGCACGCUGGCCCUCAGGUCGCCGCAGAGUGUCCCCAGUCGCCGCCAAGGUACUGUGUCUUCCAUAUCACUUCCACCUCUGCAAUGUAAGAGAGAAGAGAGGCUACGGGAGACUCUCUUCAUCUCCACCAGGAAGGAAAGUGAUGCUCAUAAGUUGUGUCCGCGAAGGUUUGAGCAACAGUGCGUCGUGAGGAGAGGAGUGCAGGGUGCCAGCGACGGGGGAGGAAUCUGAGCUGGAUACGAUUCUUCAUGCCAACGAAGCAGAACACAACUUAUGACCGUGACUGUACACGUAUUACCUAAACAGCGAAGUUUCAUACAGGGACUGCCACGUGUAGGCCUGGUGGCUUCUUGCAGCUUCCCUUAUUUUUUUUAAUGUUCUUAUGUAAGGACCUCAAGAACUGUUGCUGUUUGGACUUCCUUUGUAUUUAAUUUAGAAAACCAGUAAAGAAUAGAAAUUAGUUACAGAAAAAAAAAUUGAAACUCCAAUACUGAUCAAUACCAAAGGCAGUUCCACCUCCUGAUGAAAUAAAAAAAAGAAAAGAAAAGAAAAGACUCCUAAGAUACUUUUAAUUCUCAGGUACUUUGAAAUGACUCUUAGAUGCAAACUUUAAUCUUUGGAACUUUUUUCAUUCACCAUUUUUAGGUCCAAGUUUGAGAAAAAUAUUGACUUCGUGACUAACUUUUCAUUCUCAGAUCUGUUUAUUAAUACGGAUCUCU